UAUUCGUGGAAAGGCAACGGGACUGCAUUUGUGCGUAGGACCGGGUACAAAUUACAGACUUAGAAUCACUGAAUAUGAAAAAACGGCCAAUGCAAAUCGAGCAGCACCUUCUUCUGGCUCUCAUCUUGUUUUGCUAUUGCAACUGCCAAAGUGGUUAUAACAAUGAACAAGAUGAACAGGGUGUCAAGGCAAUCCAUGUGAAGAAAGU